GAGCCCAUGAAAAAGAUGCUUGACAUCAUUAGCCAUCGGGGAAAUCAAAAUCAGAAUCACGGUGAGAUCCUACUUCACGCCCAUUGAGAGGGAGCUCUAAUGAAAAUGCAGACAGUAAGAAGUGCCGUCAAGGAUGUGGGAAGUUCAGAACCCUCACAUGCUGCUGGGACUGUCAGAGGCUGCGGCCCCUGUGGAAAACAGUUUGGCAGUUCCUCAAAAAGUUGAACAAAGUUGCCCUGUGACCCAGCAAUUCCACUGUUGCGUAAAUACCUGAGAGGAAUGAAAACAUAUAUCUACCCCAAAACUUGCACAUAAAUGUUCACACAAGCAUUGUUUUUAAGAUAGCCAAACAUGUAGCGAUAACUAAAUGCCUACCCACUGAUGGAUGGAUAAACAAAAUGUAAUAUAUCUGUACAAUGGAAGACUAUUCAGCUAUAAAAAUGACUGAAGUGCCGGGGAUCGAGCCCAAAUCCUCAUGGAUACCAGUUGGGUUCUUGACACUGAUCCAAAAUGGGAACUCCCUUUAAAAAAAUGUUAUGGCUCCACCUGUGACAUAUGGAAGUUCCUGGGCCAAGGAUUGAAUCUGAGCUGCAGCUGCUAUCUGUGCUUCAGCUGUUGCAAUGCCAGAUCCUUUAACCCACUGUACCCGUCUGGGGAUCAAACCCAAGCCUCCAAGGAGACCUGAGCCACUGAAGUUGGAUUCUUAACCCCCUGUACCACAGCAGGAACUCCUGUUAUCCCCAUUUAACAGAUGAGAACGUGGAGACCUAGGAAGUAAAGAGCUGGAACUUGACUCAACUCUAACUUCAGUGUUCUUUCUACCCAUCGCCAGUGGCCUGCAUGUUGACUUACUGUUGCCCUUGGGUGUGUGGCUAAAUGGUUUAGGAAGAGGGGUCAGAGACAGCCUAGCUUGUGGCCCUGUCCUGUACUCUUUUGGACCCUGGUGACCCAUUUAACUGAGAACCCCCAACACCCUAAUGACCAUGUCCCCUUUGUGAGCAAGGAUACAACUUCCCUGGGACAGAUCAGGUCUGGGAUCCAUGCCCAGGGCUGCCUGCCCCGUGCGGAAUUAACAGAGCUGGCCAGUAGCGUUGCAUCCAAUGGCAGUCAGGGCGCCUCACAGGUGUUCUUGACACAGAAAAAUGAAUUUUACAGAAAAUAUUUACAGAGUGCCUGUCGUGGCUCAGGGGAAAGGAAUCUGACUAGGAUCCAUGAGGAUGCAGGUUCCAUCCCUGGCUUCACUCACUGGGUUAAGGAUCCGGCAUUGCCUUGAGCUGUGGUGUAGGUCACAGAUGCAGUUCGGAUCUGGCGUUGCUGUGGCUGUGGUGUAGGCCAGCAGCUACAGCUCUGAUUUGACCCCUAGCCCGGGAACCUCCACAUGCCAUGGGCGCAGCCCUAAAAA
rnacentral:lncRNA from 1 species